ACGCUGUUUCGGUCGCCUCUCCAUCCCCACUCGCAUCGUAAAGCACGUGGCCAAGGCUGCCGCGAUGCCUCGGCCGCUCGACGCGCUCGACUAUCUCCGCCGUCGCUCGGCAACGUUCGCUGAGCGCAUGCGUCACGUGGCCGGUACGCACUACGUUAACUACGUAGCUGCGCGGCCGCCUAACCUUAUCUAACUGUUACCCCGUCGUCGCCGUUGAUCGGACGUACAACGUAUCGGUUCCGUGCUUCUCGUCGUACGUUCCAAGUUUUGAUUGUGCGCGAAUAAUGCCGGCCGGCGUGCCGGCUAGUCGGCAACGAUCGUCGAGUCGCCGCCACUGCCAUGUUGUUUUGUCCUCUACCCGCCUGUAAUCACCUGUACUGGUGAUCGGCGGACGAUCCGUGCUUCUUUCGUGUUCUUCGUGUUGAAGUUUUCGUGCGGAUAUAACGUCGGGUGUGUCGAGUGUGGUAGCAGCGUGAGUGCCAAGAUUGUAUGCAGAUCGUGUCUCGUUCGUGAAGCGGUACGAGUUUGUCGCGUCUCGUCGCUGGCUCGUGUUCGUGUGACGUUACUCGAUUCUCCGCUUGCUCCGCAAUUUUUGUUGCUCCUGAUCGACUGCGAUCGUACAUAUCACUUUUUGCUUUUGUUCGCGUAUUAUGUGUUAUCCGCGCAGUAUCGUGAAUGCCGAAUAAAAUAUCGGGCGGCCGGUAUUAAUGUGUAAUUCGAGAAUGAGAGAUCGGCAGCGAAAUGACGAUCGCCGUAGAAUAAUUCGAAUCAACAGGAAAUGACACACAGCAGCAGUAACAGCAGCAGCAACAGUAACAACUGAGUCAGGUGAGUUCGCAUCCCGAUAAAGACGAGGCCUCUGAUAAGACUCGCUAUUCAAUUUAUUCGCGCGAGUCUCCAGGGACUCCCGCGGCUCGUGCGUCCUGUGCGUAUCGCACUACAUCGUGCAUUAGAUACCGCGGUAGAUUCUCGCGCGCGAUAUCGCGGACACGUACGACGAUGCGGACUGGAGUGGGCAACGAAGACGAUGUUGUUUUCUUCGGACUGGCAUGUUCCAUGAAACGUGUUUACGAGCACUCGGGGAGCACGUGCCCUUUUUUCGGGAGGCUCACAUAAACCACGAGAACGUAUUAGCAGUCGUGAAUCGGAGGAUCGCAAUUCUAAAACUAGCGUCAGACUCGUGCUUACCUUUUUUGAGUUUAUAAAUAAAAAUGCUUCUGCGUUAAUGAAUUAAUACGAGUGAUAAACCAUCAAGAUUGGAUAAGUAAUGUAUAUUUUUAACUGAAAAGUUAAAGUUAAUAGCUUAUAAAAUUAAUUUAGUUAAAAGUUACAUGAAUAAAAAAUCAACUAAUUA